CAACAGGACACAUAAACUGUUAGUGCCUUGUCUGGAACAAGGAAAGUGGUCAAUAAAUGUAGUUUCUUUCAGAAGCAGAAGGAAAAGCUGUGUUUCAGGAAUGGUUUCAUGUCAGUAAAAACAAUUAUAGAUGACCUUCAUAGUUCCAGGCACAGUUAGAGAUACGGAGCUACACCUGUCCCAACUAUCAGAGUAGAAUCCAGCAAGGGUCUGAGCUGUGUGGCCCAAAUAGCCACCACCCAAAGCUCUGCAUGAUAAAGGCUGUGAGAAUUGCGAGCCCGACGUACCAGGGGAGUUCAGAGAAGGGAGCGAUUUCAAUUUUCUUUGAGUAUUGACUUGCUACUGCAUGGUAACUGUAGUAUCUUCUAAGAAUGACAGUCAGGGCUAAUGAAUCACUCCAUUUAGCUGUGGCAACAGCAAGGCAAAGAAAUAUCUUCAAGGGCCCAGACAUUAUUUUUCCAGCCUUGUUCCAGGGAUAUAACGUGCUUAGAAGUUAUGACAAAUUAGCUGCUGGUGGCAAAUCUACGUGGAACCUUCCUAAAAAAUGGAAGUUCCGUCCUGAGUUAAUGGGUUGUUAUUGGCAAGGGAAAUAAAAUUUGAUAAGGAGGGUGGGUCCUGGCAUGGAAGGACCUUCAAAAGCAGCAGAAGAUUUUACAUUUGACUCAGGAAGCCCAGGGAUGAGCAAAUGGGAGAGGCAUGGACCAGACCUCCAUUGAGUCACAGGCCAUUUCUGUAUUUCAGUGUCCCAACAGUCAGUUUACGCAUGAAGGCUGAGGGCACUGUCCCCAGACCAUUGUACAGGGUAAGGGAAAAGAAGUAAAGGAGACUUAAUUUUUUAAAAAAGAAACUAUAGAUGUGAGGAGAAUGCUAUUUUUUAACCAUGCUAAUUUUUUUUAUUGCCAAUCUUGUCUUCCUAGGAUGGAACAUCUCUUAAUUUCAUGCUGCCAUGUUUGUGCUUCCAGGUACCUGAGGUACAUUCAGAAAGGCCAGACUCUGGGUUCCUUCUGGCAUUGGGAGGAAGAAGGCAUCCCGGAAAUCAAGACUCUGAACACAUCUUCCUCAAGUACAUCCUACCUAAAGGAAACUCUUGCUUGGCACUGUUGGUUGUUCUGAAAGAAGAGAAAAUCCAGCAAACCACUGACCAUUUCAUUUUGCUGGCCAUAGUUGCAGCACUUUCAUACCUGCAGAACUCACUGGGGUUAUGCUAGAACAAGAGCUGAGCUACAGACUCCUGUUCCUAUUUUCGUUUUGUGUCCUACUGAGCCCUCCCUGUGUUACCAUCCCUGGGACCACCCACUGGACAGAUAUUGUACAACCCAAUAGGAAAUUCCCAACACCCAUCUUGGAGGUAAAGGGCCAUCAGUGCUGAUUGUAGGAAUGCCAUUUCUUCCCUGCCCUUUCAAUAAAGGGGCACUCCCAAAGACA
rnacentral:lncRNA from 1 species